CCUUUGUUGUCAAUUUUUGUUUGUUGGCUGCUUCCAUUUAAUAUUCUUCCGAUUUACACCAAUUUUACUCUGAUAUUACUAUCAAACAACACCAAUCAAACUUUAGCAACAAUUCCGUCAAUGUAAACCUACUUAAUCAGUCAAUACAAGUGAGAAAAACGUGAAAAUGCUAGCGGUACUGCUUCUGAACAGGAUGAGUAUGAAACGGCGAACAGCUCGCAAACAAAGGCUAGCAAAACCUGCAAAAGUAGACGUGGUAGUGCCUGAAGUCUUUGUCUGCAGGACCUGCUUGAGCCCUGACAAUUUGGAGAGCAUAUUUGUUAAUAAAGACAGCGAAAAGAAGAGGUCGCACGAUCUGAAACUCGUCACCGGUUUAGAAAUCAAAAUGAAUGAUGGUCUCUCCCAAAAAAUAUGCAGCAAAUGUAUAGAAUCCAUGAACACGGCUCUACAGUUUAGAAGAACAAGCAGAAAGGCAGAAAAAUCCUUACUCAACAGCGUAACCGGUAAAAAGAGCAAGAAAAAAUACAAACUGCGCAAAAAAGUGAUAAAAACAAAACUCAAGGAGGCAAAAAAGGAGAAAUUAGAUAGUGAUUUAGACGUAGGCAAUGACUUCCAGAACGAUGACUGUGGGAUGGGUGGCGAUGAUAGUUUUCAGGAUUAUAACUAUCAGAAUAAUGAGUAUCAUGAUGAUGAUGACAAUUUUGUACCUGUUAAAGAAGAGGUGACUGAAACUAAAGCUGAAACAAAACCAACAGAAAAGAAGAAACGGCCAGCGAUACCGAACGCACCGUCAUACAAGUGCAGUACAUGCAACAAGGAGUUCCGGAUGAAGGCAACGUACCAGUCGCACAUGCGGUUCCACACCAACUACUGUGUUUGCGAGGCGUGCGGCAAGCGCUGUCGGAACAACAACCAACUGCAAGAACAUAAGCGCGCACGUCACGGGUUAGGGCGCAUCCACAAGUGUGCGUACUGUGAAUACAGCGCUGCUACUAAAGAGGCGCUUACAAUCCAUGAGCGGCGCCACACGGGCGAGCGGCCGUACGUGUGCGACCACUGCGGCGCCACCUUCCACCGCCGGUCUAAUCUGGUACAACACAUCGCGAUACACUUGCCGGAGAAGAACUUUCAGUGCGACCUCUGCCCGAAGCGUCUCAAAUCGCGCAAGUUCCUUCAAAUCCACAAACACAACGCGCACACGGGCCGCCGCUACGGGUACUUGUGUGCGGUGUGCGAGCGACGCUUCGAGAAGCCGAACAAAGUUCGCGCGCAUUCGCGGCGCGUGCACGGACUGCCUGACGAUCAGCAGGGGCCGGUUGUUAGGGUGCAGCUUUAGGGAUUUAUUUAUUUAUACACAUUUUGUUUAUUUAUUUAAUGCCUAUGUGAGACGAUAGUCGAGUAUGUACCUAUGUACUUGCUAUAAAUAUGAAGCGACAUGAUUUCAUUGCUAAAUAUUUUAGGGACGUCCACCAACAAGGUGGACCUAUGAGAUCAUAAAGGUAGCAGGAAGGCGCUGGACGCAGGAAGCUACAAAUCGACCAACAUGGAAACCAUUGGGGGAGGCCUAUGUUCAGCAGUAGACGUCCUGUGGCUGAGAUGAUGAUGAUGAUGAAACAUUUUAGGAAAACAUACAACUACCUAUUUUAAUAUAAAAUAAAUUAGAGCGGUAGAAGCGUAUUUGUAUGUUAUAGAUAUAGAAUAAUCGCCAUUUUUAAGUGAUUUAUAUCAUACUUUUUGUAAAUACAAUUAUUAUUUGAUCUCGAUGCGACAUUUAUAUUUUGACGUAUUAUUAUAAUUAAAUAAAAAGAUAUUCUCCAAUUAAAUAUUAGAUAUAAAUCCAGCCUUACAGUAUAGUAUUGUAGGAUUAGUAUUAUGUAUAAUAAAGGGUGGGGUACAUACAAUCGGCCCCUGGAUAUGAAGAAAAAGAAUAAGUGCAGCAUGUGCGACAAGCGCGAAAAGUCCAAGAAGCUCCUCCAAGUCCACCAAUACAAGGUGCACCGUCAGAAACCGUACAAA